GUGAGUAGUUCAGAGUUUGAUCCUGGCUCAGGAUGAACGCUGGCGGCAUGCCUAAGACAUGCAAGUCGAACGAAGUGGCCCAACAAUAAUGGAGUGCUUGCACAAAAUUUGCGAUGGAAUUUCCACUUAGUGGCAGACGGGUGAGUAACACGUAAGUAACCUACCCUGAAGAUUGGAAUAAUGUUUGGAAACGGACACUAAUACCGGAUAAUUCACAUUUAGUUAUCUAAUUGUGCUAAAAGGAGCGUUUGCUUCGCUUCGGGAUGGGCUUGCGGCGUAUUAACUAGUUGGUGAGGUAAUGGCUCACCAAGGUGACGAUGCGUAGCCGAACUGAGAGGUUGAACGGCCACAUUGGGACUGAGACACGGCCCAA
rnacentral:rRNA from 1 species